GGCGGCAGGCCUAACACAUGCAAGUCGAGCGGUAGAGAGAAGCUUGCUUCUCUUGAGAGCGGCGGACGGGUGAGUAAUGCCUAGGAAUCUGCCUGGUAGUGGGGGAUAACGUUCGGAAACGGACGCUAAUACCGCAUACGUCCUACGGGAGAAAGCAGGGGACCUUCGGGCCUUGCGCUAUCAGAUGAGCCUAGGUCGGAUUAGCUAGUUGGUGAGGUAAUGGCUCACCAAGGCGACGAUCCGUAACUGGUCUGAGAGGAUGAUCAGUCACACUGGAACUGAGACACGGUCCAGACUCCUACGGGAGGCAGCAGUGGGGAAUAUUGGACAAUGGGCGAAAGCCUGAUCCAGCCAUGCCGCGUGUGUGAAGAAGGUCUUCGGAUUGUAAAGCACUUUAAGUUGGGAGGAAGGGUUGUAGAUUAAUACUCUGCAAUUUUGACGUUACCGACAGAAUAAGCACCGGCUAACUCUGUGCCAGCAGCCGCGGUAAUACAGAGGGUGCAAGCGUUAAUCGGAAUUACUGGGCGUAAAGCGCGCGUAGGUGGUUUGUUAAGUUGGAUGUGAAAUCCCCGGGCUCAACCUGGGAACUGCAUUCAAAACUGACUGACUAGAGUAUGGUAGAGGGUGGUGGAAUUUCCUGUGUAGCGGUGAAAUGCGUAGAUAUAGGAAGGAACACCAGCGGCGAAGGCGACCACCUGGACUAAUACUGACACUGAGGUGCGAAAGCGUGGGGAGCAAACAGGAUUAGAUACCCUGGUAGUC
rnacentral:rRNA from 1 species